rnacentral:tRNA from 1 species
AUUAUUGUAGUUUAAGAAGAGUAGAAUGAUAACCUUCCAAGUUAAAGGUCUAAAUUAUUUAGUGGUAAUA